rnacentral:rRNA from 1 species
AGAGUUUGAUCCUGGCUCAGGAUGAACGCUGGCGGCGUGCCUAACACAUGCAAGUCGAGCGGAGUUAUGAGAGGUGCUUGCACCACUUUUAACUUAGCGGCGGACGGGUGAGUAACACGUGAGUAACCUGCCCUUGAGUGGGGAACAACAUCGAGAAAUCGGUGCUAAUACCGCAUAAUAUCUCUUUGCCGCAUGACAGAGAGAUCAAAGGAUUUAUUCGCUUGAGGAUGGACUCGCGUCCGAUUAGUUAGUUGGUGAGGUAACGGCCCACCAAGACAUCGAUCGGUAGCCGAACUGAGAGGUUGAUCGGCCACAUUGGGACUGAGACACGGACCAGACUCCUGCGGGAGGCAGCAGUAAGGGAUAUUGGUCAAUGGGGGAAACCCUGAACCAGCCAUGCCGCGUGAGGGAAUGAGGCCCUACGGGUCGUGAACCUCUUUUACUCGGGGACAAGGCGUCGCACGUGAUGCGGCGUUGAGGGUACCGAGGGAAUAAGCGUCGGCUAACUCCGUGCCAGCAGCCGCGGUAAUACGGAGGACGCGAGCGUUAUCCGGAUUCAUUGGGUUUAAAGGGUGCGCAGGCGGCCUGCCAAGUCAGCGGUGAAAGCCCGGGGCCCAACCCCGGAAGUGCCGUUGAUACUGGUGGGCUGGAAUGCGGUCGAGGCGGGCGGAACGUGGCGUGUAGCGGUGAAAUGCGUAGAUAUUCGGAGGAACACCAGUGGCGAAGGCGGCUUGCUGGGCUCUAACUGACGCUGAGGCUCGAAAGUGUGGGGAGCAAACAGGAUUAGAUACCCUGGUAGUCCACACUGUAAACGAUGAUUACUAGGUGUGGGAGGUCUGACCCCUUCCGUGCCGCAGUUAACACAAUAAGUAAUCCACCUGGGGAGUACGGCCGCAAGGUUGAAACUCAAAGGAAUUGACGGGGGCCCGCACAAGCAGUGGAGUAUGUGGUUUAAUUCGAAGCAACGCGAAGAACCUUACCAGGUCUUGACAUCGUAUGCAUAGUCUAGAGAUAGAUGAAGCCUCUUCGGAGGCAUAUAGACAGGUGGUGCAUGGUUGUCGUCAGCUCGUGUCGUGAGAUGUUGGGUUAAGUCCCGCAACGAGCGCAACCCUUACCUUUAGUUGCUACGCAAGAGCACUCUAAAGGGACUGCCGUUGACAAAACGGAGGAAGGUGGGGAUGACGUCAAAUCAUCAUGCCCCUUAUGACCUGGGCUACACACGUACUACAAUGGCAAUUAACAAAGAGAAGCAAGACAGUGAUGUGGAGCAAAUCUCGAAAAAUUGUCCCAGUUCAGAUUGCAGGCUGCAACUCGCCUGCAUGAAGUCGGAAUUGCUAGUAAUCGUGGAUCAGCAUGCCACGGUGAAUACAAUCCCGGGCCUUGCACACACCGCCCGUCA